rnacentral:tRNA from 1 species
CACUAGAAAGCUAAAUCAGGGUAACAGCAUUGGCCUUUUAAGCCAAAGAUUGGUGCCUCCCAACCACCUCUAGUGA